CCAACUGAGACAUUCAAACCUCAUCACAGAGCUCAUGUCCAUCCACACCAUCAUGUGGGUGAGAGAUUGUUAUGUGGCCUGCAGCACCUAUGAGAACACAUUCGUGCCUGUAUUUCAGCUUCUUAUGAUCUACACAAGUGGCCAGAGUGUCAGUGUUUGAUCGCUCUCACAGAACCUGACUUCAGUCACCUCACUCCAGGAAGACAGAGGGCUGCAAGGUGUGUGUGUGUGUGUGUGUGUGUGUGUGUGGUCUAGAACUAUAGCAAGCUAUAGUUAUACAGUUCAUACAAACACACAGCUCUAAAUCUUGAUCAUGUGAUUAUUAAAUAUCUAUUGAACCAUUUCAUGUAUUUUUAUAGAAGGUACACAACCUCAAAAUGUGAAAGUGUUUAAGAGGAGAAAUAAUGAAAGCUCAAAGUGUGUUUGUAUGAAUCCUUAGAAUAGGUGUAACAGUGGUUUUUCACAUCUGUGCUUACACUGCUCUAAUAAAUAGGAAAUGGGUCACACAUAUAAAGUCUGUUUGAAGAUGAACCUGUGGUUAUCAGAGUGUGGUUAAGAAAGCCUUCAAAAGUUCAUGACAGUCACAUCCAGUGACAUGUGCUUCUGUUUAUCAUUUCAUAUGAGGUCACACAGCUGAGUUCAACCAUAACAUUCAUGCACUUCUAUUUGUGCUUCAGACUCUAUCCAAUCCUUUAAAUCAAGAUUGAAAGCAUACUUAUUUAACCUGGCUUAGGGUCGGGAGACCAGUUAAUACCCAUUUUUAAACUUUUAUUAUUUUUAUUUUAUUAUAAAUUUUCCUGCUGUUUUUAUCUUCUUAGUAGAUAUUUUGUAUUUCUGACCUUCCUCCCUGUAUUGAGGCUUGAUACCUAUUUUACUUAACUUCUCGGUCUAUAGUGCCUCCAUUCUGUCUGUGCUAGUGCCCAAUCUGUACUUUUGUUGUCUCUUUGUAUUACUGUAAAGCACUUUGGUGUGCCUUUGGGUUUUUAAAUGUGCUAUAUAAAUAAAAUUGUAUUGUAAUGUUA